rnacentral:rRNA from 1 species
CAGUCGUAACCCGAUGGGUAAUCCAGCCUUUUGGGGUGCGGAUUAAUGUGGUACCGUGGAAAAGAUUUCCACCGGUUGUAAUAUUUCGUGCCUUUGGGGUGUACUUGCUCGUAUGGUAGGUUAACAUCCAAUUUCGGUCGUCAUAAAAUGACGGGAGGAAUGUAGCUUUGAUCUCGUAUUAAAAGUGUUAUAGCCUCUGGUAGAUGUGAUGAUCGGGAUUGAGGAUUGCAACGAACCCUCUGGGCCACUCGUCUGGCCUCUGGUGGUCGCUCUGGUUCCGAAAGCUUGCUUACGGUUGUCAGAGUUUGGUUGCCAAAAGGUUAGAACGGGAUGAU